UAGGGAAUCUUGGACAAUGGGCGAAAGCCUGAUCCAGCCAUGCCGCGUGAGUGAUGAAGGCCUUAGGGUUGUAAAGCUCUUUCGCCAGGGAAGAUAAUGACGGUACCUGGAUAAGAAGCCCCGGCUAACUUCGUGCCAGCAGCCGCGGUAAUACGAAGGGGGCUAGCGUUGUUCGGAAUUACUGGGCGUAAAGGGCUCGUAGGUGGCCAACUAAGUCAGACGUGAAAUCCCCAGGCUUAACCUGGGAACUGCGUCUGAUACUGGCUGGCUUGAAUUCGGGAGAGGGAUGCAGAAUUCCAGGUGUAGCGGUGAAAUGCGUAGAUAUCUGGAGGAAUACCGGUGGCGAAGGCGGCAUCCUGGACCGAGAUUGACACUGAGGAGCGAAAGCUAGGGGAGCAAA
rnacentral:rRNA from 1 species